GCCCUUCUCUGCGGAAUAGCCACUGGAAACGGUGAGUAAUACCGCAUACGCCCUUCGGGGGAAAGAUUUAUCGGAGAAGGAUCGGCCCGCGUUAGAUUAGGUAGUUGGUGGGGUAAUGGCCUACCAAGCCUACGAUCUAUAGCUGGUUUGAGAGGAUGAUCAGCCACACUGGGACUGAGACACGGCCCAGACUCCUACGGGAGGCAGCAGUGGGGAAUCUUAGACAAUGGGCGCAAGCCUGAUCUAGCCAUGCCGCGUGAGUGAUGAAGGCCUUAGGGUCGUAAAGCUCUUUCGCUGGGGAAGAUAAUGACUGUACCCAGUAAAGAAACCCCGGCUAACUCCGUGCCAGCAGCCGCGGUAAUACGGAGGGGGUUAGCGUUGUUCGGAAUUACUGGGCGUAAAGCGCGCGUAGGCGGAUCAGAAAGUUGGGGGUGAAAUCCCGGGGCUCAACCUCGGAACUGCCUCCAAAACUCCUGGUCUUGAGUUCGAGAGAGGUGAGUGGAAUUCCGAGUGUAGAGGUGAAAUUCGUAGAUAUUCGGAGGAACACCAGUGGCGAAGGCGGCUCACUGGCUCGAUACUGACGCUGAGGUGCGAAAGUGUGGGGAGCAAACAGGAUUAGAUACCCUGGUAGUCCACACCGUAAACGAUGAAUGCCAGUCGUCGGCAAGCAUGCUUGUCGGUGACACACCUAACGGAUUAAGCAUUCCGCCUGGGGAGUACGGUCGCAAGAUUAAAACUCAAGGAAUUUGACGGGGGGCCCGCACAACCGG
rnacentral:rRNA from 1 species